UACAGAGGUCUCAAGCGUUGUUCGGAUUCAUUGGGCGUAAAGGGUGCGUAGGCGGCGCGGUAAGUCGGGUGUGAAAUCUCGGAGCUUAACUCCGAAACUGCAUUCGAUACUGCCGUGCUUGAGGACUGGAGAGGAGACUGGAAUUUACGGUGUAGCGGUGAAAUGCGUAGAUAUCGUAAGGAAGACCAGUGGCGGAAGGCGG
rnacentral:rRNA from 1 species